GACGAACGCUGGCGGCGUGCCUAAUACAUGCAAGUCGAACGCAGUGGGGACGGGUGAGUAACACGUGGGUAACCUCCCAUCAGAGGGGAUAACACUUGGAAACAGGUGCUAAACCGAUACUGAUGGAUGGACCCGCGGUGCAUUAGCUAGUUGGUGAGGUAACGGCUCACCAAGGCCACGAUGCAUAGCCGACCUGGGAGGGUGAUGGGCAACACUGGGAAGGAGACACGGCCCAGACUCCAACGGGGGGCAGAAGGGGGGAAUCUUCGGCAAUGGAGGAAAGUCUGACCGGCCAACGCCGGGUGAGUGAAGAAGGUUUUCGGAUCGUAAAACUCUGUUGUGAGAGAAGCGGUAACUAACCAGAAAGCCACGGCUAACUACGUGCCAGCAGCCGCGGUAAUU
rnacentral:rRNA from 1 species